rnacentral:RNase_P_RNA from 1 species
GGAGUGGGCCGGAUGGUCGCGCGCUUUGUAGCCAUUUUGGUUAUGCGGCGUGAGGAAAGUCCGGACUCCACAGGGCAGGAUGCCAGCUAACGGCUGGGCGGGGCAACCCGACGGAAAGUGCCACAGAAAAGAAAACUCCCCCGCUUUGUCCCAUCGCUUUGAUGAGUGGCUCAUUACGCGGGAGAAAAGCUGAAACGGUGCGGUAAGAGCGCACCAGCGCCACGGUAACGCGGCGGCUUGGCAAACCCCAUCCGGUGCAAGGGCAAAUAGGAGCGCGUUCGGUUGGCCCGACCGGCGCUCGGGUUGCCCGCUUGAGGGCGACGGCGACGUCGCUCCCAGAUAAAUGGCCAUCUGAGACAGAAUCCGGCUUACCCGCCCACUCCGGCU